ACGACCUUACUUGAACAGGAUCUGUUCUAUAGGCUCGUACCUCUGUUUCCUUGAUUUCUAAGGAGACAGGAAACCAAACCUGGUGGAUGAAUCAUGACCGUGUGAUCAGAGCGUGAUUAAUGGCUUGAUGUUCUUCUGUUCAUCGUGGCUGUAGAGGAUCGUUCUCAGUUAAGCUUCAGCUUUACUGGGAUGGUCACCCGGUUGUCUGACAGGUU